rnacentral:rRNA from 1 species
UUGUGGUUAAAAAGCUCGUAGUUGGAUCUCGGCGGACUGAGGGCGGUUUGCUUGCUAGUAUUACUGCCCUAUAGUCCGUAGUUUUGCCAGAGGUUUCGGGGUGCUCUUAAUCGAGUGUCCCGGGAUGCUGGCAGGUUUACUUUGAAAAAAUUAGAGUGCUCAAAGCAGGCUAUUACGCCUGAAUAUUCGUGCAUGGAAUAAUAGAAUAGGAAGUCGUUUCUAUUUUGUUGGUUUUCGGAAAUCGACUUAAUGAUUAAUAGGGACAGUCGGGGGCAUUUGUAUUCAAACGACAGAGGUGAAAUUCUUGGACCGUCUGAAGACAAACUACUGCGAAAGCAUUUGCCAAGAAUGUUUUCAUUAAUCAAGAACGAAAGUUAAAGGUUCGAAGGCGAUUAGAUACCGCCCUAGUUUUAACCAUAAACGAUGCCAGCUAGCGAUCUGCGGACGUUUUUUUUGUAGACUCCGCAGGAAGCUUCCGGGAAACCAAAGCAUUUGGGUUCCAGGGGAAGUAUGGUUGCAAAGCUGAAACUUAAAGGAAUUGACGGAAGGCACCACCAGGAGUGGAGCCUGUGGCUUAAUUUGACUCACACGGGAAAUCUCACCAGGCCCGGACACUGGAAGGAU